GUCCAUCACAAGAAAAGUCCUCUCCACCAUUGAGCACAUCUACAAAGAGCAUUGCCACAAAGCAGCAUCCAUCAUCAAGGAACCACACCGUCCGACCAUGCUCUCUUCUCCUUACUACCAUCAGGAAGGAGGUACAGAAUCCUUGGGUCCCACACUACCACGUUCGGGGACAGUUUUUAUCUUCAGCCAUUAAGUUCUGAACCAGCGUGGAUAACCUCACUCACCGCAGCACUGAUCCCUGAACACAAACUAUGGACUCAGUUUCAACAACUCUGCAACUCUUGUUCUGUGUCAUUUAGUCAGUUAGCUUUUAAGUGAUUUAUUGAGAUAUAGUGCGGCAUAUACCCUCCUGGUCCUGUGAGCCCAGCAAUCGAUGAUUUAAUCCAAGCCUAAUCGUGGGACAGUUUACGACGACUAACUUACGUACCAACUGGUAUGUGUGGGACGAAACUGAAGCACCCAGAGGAAGCCCAUGUGGUCACGAGGAGAACAUCAAAUAGCUUUCAGACAGUGUCUACAUUUUAUGGGCGUUUCCGGCACUUCUUGGAUAUCAUCGAUCCUCGGACUUUGUUUGUCACUGAGAGUCGUCUUAAAGCAGAACUGCAGCUUCUGGAAGACUUUAGACUUGGCACCCUACCCCCAGGAAUCUCCAACCAACAGCUUUGGGAGGCUCAAAAAAUUAAACAGGCUGUUUUACAUCCGGAUACCAAUGAGAAGAUUUUGAUGCCUUUCAGAAUGUCAGGUUAUAUUCCUUUUGGGACCCCAAUUGUGGUUGGCCUUCUGCUUCCCCAGCAGACCCUGGCAACGACUGUUUUCUGGCAGUGGUUGAACCAGAGUCACAACGCAUGUGUGAAUUACGCAAACAGAAACGCAACCAAGCCAACUCCAUUGUCAAAGUUCAUCCUGGGUUACUCUGGAGCCGUCAUCAGCGCAGUCUCGAUUGCAGUAGGUCUGAAUGUUUUCAUCAAGAAAGCCAACAGGUUUAGUCCGGCCACACGCUCACUGAUUCAACGUUUCGUGCCCUUUCCUGCUGUAGCUGCCGCUAACGUGAGCAAUGUGGUGCUGAUGAGGCACAGUGAGCUGGAGGAGGGAAUCUCAGUCUUGGAUGAGCAUGGAAACACCGUUGGGUUCUCCAGGAUCGCUGCCAGACAUGCACUGAUGGAGACUGCCUUAACUCGGAUCGUCCUCCCGAUCCCCAUCCUUGUUCUGCCACCGGUUAUCAUGUCGUUCCUGGAGAAGGUCAAAAUAUCUUUGGCAAGACGGCAUGUAUUGAAAGUGAAGGGGGAAAGUUUAAAGGCGAUGUGUAGGAACUCGGAUGCUGAGAGCAUAUCCAAGACUGACUCUUCCGCUGCAUAGCCUCGUGUGCCUGGCUGCCUUUGGAUUUGCGCUGCCUGUUGCCAUCAGCCUCUUCCCACAGACUUCAGAGAAUGGAACGCAUGGAAAAGUCAAGUGAUUAGCAGUUUCUGAGAUACUCAAACCACCCUGCCUGGCAGCAACUUUCAUUCUAUGGUCAAAGUCACUUGGAUCACAUUUCUUCACCAUUCUGAUGUUUGCUCUGAACAACAACUGAACCUCUUCCUAAGAAAAUUGAGGCAAGCAAGGCUCCCCUGUCCCGGUUUCUUAACUGCGUUUUACAGGAGCACCAUUGAGAGCGUCCCGACAAGCUACAUCUCCAUCUGGUAUGGGAGCAGAAGUCCCUACAGAGGACCAUGAGAAAAGCUGAGAGGAUCAUAGGGGUCUUCCUACCAUCCAUCGGGGACAUUUAUCAGGAGUGCUGUGUACGCAGGGUCCUUAGUAUUAUUAAGGAUCCCACCGAUCCAUCCAGCAUCCUCUUUGACUUUCUAUCAUCAGGCAGGAAACUGAGAUGCAUAAAAACAAGAGUGGUUAGAAUGAGAAUCAGUUUCUUCCUUCAGGCCAUUAAACCUGACCUUCCAGCUGCAUUGUAUUCGAAGUGUCACUGUUCCAUACCUUACAAUGUUUAGAAUCAAUGCAUUUUAGUUUGUUAUUUAUGUGUGAUUCCUCUGUAGAUUUUACCUUUACCCUCAUAAGUUAUUGUGUGUUAUAUGUGUGUCAUGUGUACUACUGUGCUUUACACCCUGGUUCAAAGGAAUUUUGUCCAUUUCUAUAUACAUUAUAUAAUUAUAAAUGUCAUGU